rnacentral:rRNA from 1 species
GAGUAAAGAUUUCGGUCGCUUUGGGAGGAGCUCGCUUACUAUCAGCUUGUUGGUAGGGUAAUGGCCUACCAAGGCUAUGACGGUUAGGGGGUGUGAGAGCAUGACCCCCAGCAUUGGCACUGAAACACUGGCCAAACACCUACGGGUGGCUGCAGUCGAGAAUCUUCCACAAUGGGGGAAACCCUGAUGGAGCGAUGCUGCGUGCGGGAUGAAGGCCUUCGGGUUGUAAACCGCUUUUGUAGGGGACGAAAUUUUUGACGGUACCCUUUCGAAUAAGAGGUUGCUAACUCUGUGCCAGCAGCAGCGGUAAUACAGAGACCUCAAGCGUUAUCCGGAUUUACUGGGCGUAAAGCGUCUGUAGGGGGUUUAUUAAGUUCCAAGUAAAAUUUCAAGGCUCAACUUUGAAUUCGCUUGGAAAACUAAUAAACUGGAGUCUAGCAGAGGUGCAUGGAACUUGUGGUGUAGGAGUGAAAUCCGUUGAUAUCACAAGGAACACCAAAGGCGAAGGCAUUGCACUGGGCUAGCACUGACCCUGAGAGACGAAAGCGUGGGGAGCAAAACGGAUUAGAUACCCGUGUAGUCCACGCCCUAAACGAUGAAUGCUAAAUGUUCGGGGAUUCGACCCCCUGGGUGUUACAGCUAACGCGUUAAGCAUUCCGCCUGGGAAGUACGGCCGCAAGGCUAAAACUCAAAGGAAUAGACGGGGAUCCGCACAAGCGGUGGAGCGUCUGGUUUAAUUCGACAGUAAGCGUGGUACCUCACCAGGGUUUGACAUCCCUUGACAGCCUUGGAAACAAGGUUUCCUUCGGGCAAGGUGACAGGUGCUGCAUGGUCGUCGUCAGUUCGUGCCGUGAGGUGUUCCGUUAAGUCGGGAAACGAACGAAACCCCUAUUGCAUGUUACAAUUUCUCAUGCAAGACUGCCCGGAUAUACUGGGAGGAAGGUGGGGAUGACGUCAGAUCUGCAUGGUCCUUAUACCCUGGGCGACACAGGCGCUACAAUGGCAGAGACAAAGGGUUGCAAAACCGCAAGGUGAAGCUAAUCCCAAAAACUUUGUCUAAGUUCGGAUUGAAAGCUGCAAUUCGCCUUCAUGAAGCUGGAAUCGCUAGUAAUCGUGAAUCAGCCACGUCACGGUGAAUAUGUUCCCGGAUCUUGUACUCACCGCCCGUCACACCAAGAGAGUUGGUAGCUCCCGA